UAAUACGAAGGGGGCUAGCGUUGCUCGGAAUCACUGGGCGUAAAGGGCGCGUAGGCGGACUCUUAAGUCGGGGGUGAAAGCCCAGGGCUCAACCCUGGAAUAGCCUUCGAUACUGAGAGUCUUGAGUUCGGAAGAGGUUGGUGGAAUUGCGAGUGUAGAGGUGAAAUUCGUAGAUAUUCGCAAGAACACCAGUGGCGAAGGCGGCCAACUGGUCCGAUACUGACGCUGAGGCGCGAAAGCGUGGGGAGCAAACAGG
rnacentral:rRNA from 1 species